GCCAAGGUCAUAUUUCCCAUCCCUGUAUGGGCAAGUUCCCUUUACACAGAGAGAGCCUGCUCCAAGCCUACAAACUGCAUCCACAAUCUUGGUAAGCCAUCUCAAAGAGCUUGCCCUUGAUUACAAAGAGAAGCAGAUGCCUGGUCUAUCCCCACCGGAUUUGAGCCAUGGUGACAUCAGAAUCUGGAUUACAGAAGACUGCAGACAGGAUGCUGCGGAUAGAUAGCCAGCCAGCCUGGCAGGAAAGCCCAGAGAAGCCAGGCCACCUGGGACUUGAGGCCAAGGAGGGGGAGAGAUGCCUGCAGUCACCCAGUGACAUCACACAGCUGCCUGAGGCACAAGAAGGUGCUCUGCUGCUGAAAGGAACAGCAAAAUUCAUGUCCAAAUAUCUCCAUGGUAACAGCAGAGCAUGCCAAGAUAUUGAACCAUGUGGAAGACAAAAGUACAUUUUGCUAGAAGUCUCCAUAACAACAGAAGAACAUUAGGGGAAAGGAGAGUCCAAGCAGGGGAUGUGUCUAUCAAGUCAGAGUUGUAGUGUUCUGUUUUCAAAAGAUCUUCUGCACCUGACUUGUUGACCAACUUUGAUUAGAAAAGAAGUACUAUGAUAAAUCUGUGUAUUUGAAUAUUGAGGUAAAUCAUAUUUUCAUUCUAUUAAUCAGAACAUUCCAUUGGAAAGGAGGCUUUAAAAAUAUCCCUUAGGAAAACUCCAUUCACUCUUUAACAUUUUUUUAAAUGCUAGCAAUAGUAGUAAAAGAAGAAAAAGAAAUAGAGGGAAUCAGAAUAGGGAAUGAGGUAAUAAAACAACUAAAGACAACUAAAGACAACUAUAAAUUAGUUGAAACAAUAAUUUUUAGUAAAAUAG